GACGAACGCUGGCGGCGUGCUUAACACAUGCAAGUCGAACGAUGAAGCCGGAGCUUGCUCUGGUGAAUUAGUGGCGAACGGGUGAGUAACACGUGAGUAACCUGCCCUUGACUCUGGGAUAACUGCGGGAAACUGUAGCUAAUACCGGAUACGACCCUCGGAGGCAUCUCCUGGGGGUGGAAAGAAUUUCGGUCAAGGAUGGACUCGCGGCCUAUCAGCUAGUUGGUGAGGUAAAGGCUGACCAAGGCGACGACGGGUAGCCGGCCUGAGAGGGUGACCGGCCACACUGGGACUGAGACACGGCCCAGACUCCUACGGGGGGCAGCAGUGGGGAAUAUUGCACAAUGGGCGCAAGCCUGAUGCAGCAACGCCGCGUGAGGGAUGACGGCCUUCGGGUUGUAAACCUCUUUUAGCAGGGAAGAAGCGAAAGUGACGGUACCUGCAGAAAAAGCACCGGCUAACUACGUGCCAGCCGCCGCUGUAA
rnacentral:rRNA from 1 species